GACCUCACCCUGGAGGGGGACGUCCCCCCGCGGCGGCCGCCCCCCUCCGUCCCCGCUCUGCAACAACCCUCCGUGACAACUGGCCGCUCGUUUUUCCUUUCCUUUCUUUUCUCUUCCCGCCGCCGCGCUGCCACCGCGUCCCACCCCACCCCACCCCRCCCCCCCAACGUCCCCCCGGAAGCGUCCCCCGCGGGCCUCUCAGGUGGCGUCGUGGCGGCGGGCGGCGGGCCGGGCGCCCGGCGGCACCCAGUUGUUGUCGUGCAGCCCCACGCGGCAGCCGGGCGCCUCGCGCUCGCCCCGCCGGCAGCACAUCCAGUAGGAGCGGCCGUAGGGCAGGUCGUGGUGGUAGGGCUUGGGGUGCCAGCGGCACAGCGACACGUCGCCCCGCGCGUACAGCUUCUUGCACUGCUUGCAGGGGUCGUCGCGGUAGAGCGGGUCGCGGUUCCAGCGCGAGUCGGUCGCCUGCACCCCGAACGUCUCGAUGAUGGAUUUGAAGUAGUGGCAGGAGCACUUGAGGGCGGCCAGCGCCUGCGUGGGCAGGUAGCUGAAGAUCUUCACCAUGACGUGCUCGGGCAGCAGCAGCAUGUACUGCCGCGGCUCCAGCAGCCGCUGGAUCUUGAAGCGGAUCUCCAAGAAGUCGUGCGAGACGUGCCGGUAGAGGCGGCACAGCGAGGAGUCCGGCGGUGGCGGCGGCGGCGGCGUGGUGGUGGUGGUGGGCAUCACCUCGGGGCCUUCGGCCUCGUGUGCCUCCUUGGGCGGCCCGCCCGGACCGGGCAGCAGGCAAAAUCGCGGUGGCGAUUCCUGCUCGUGCCCUGCUGUCCCCCUGCCCGGGCCCCGGGCUGCCACCGGGCUGCGAGCGCUGCACCGAGAAACCCUCUCCUGUGGGACGCGGUGCCGGUGCUCCCCGGUCCGACUGAACUACAACCCCUCCACCGAGCUCGCUUAAACUCUCCUCAGGCCUGUUCUCUAGGUCCCAAAGCUCUUUGCAGCCCGGCUUUGAACUUUGCCUGGGUUUUCAACAUCCGCUCGCAGGCGCUUUGCCAUUUCCUAUGA
rnacentral:lncRNA from 1 species